AGCCCUGUGGUGUAAUUGGCAACAUAGCGCCCUUUGAAGGCGAAGAUUCCAGGUUCGAGUCCUGGUGGGGCUGCCA
rnacentral:tRNA from 13 species